rnacentral:lncRNA from 1 species
GGACGUGACAACCUUCAGGCUUGCUGAGGAGACAACGAUCUCGAAUCUGCCAGGGAGAUCACACUCUUAAUCCUCUGGGGAGAUACAGCCUGUUUGACGGGGGUGUCGGUCGACUCGUCGAACACUGGUAUCCAUCAUCCACCCAUAGUGUUGACUUUCCUCUUUUACGAACUCUCAGACUCUUCUGGACUUUUCUGCUCCAUCAUCUUGUAUUCCAAAUCUCGUCCGUACUCCACGGGGAUCGAACUCCUGGUAUUCA